UCCCUGGUGGCUCAGACGGUAAAGCGUCUGCCUUCAAUGCAGGAGACCUGGGUUCGAUUCCUGUGUCGGGAA
rfam:Ovis aries breed Texel chromosome 2, whole genome shotgun sequence.